rnacentral:rRNA from 1 species
UACGGGGGGGGCAAGCGUUGUUCGGAAUUACUGGGCGUAAAGGGCUCGUAGGCGGCCAACUAAGUCGGACGUGAAAUCCCUCAGCUUAACUGGGGAACUGCGUCUGAUACUGGAUGGCUUGGAUUCGGGAGAGGGAUGCGGAAUUCCAGGUGUAGCGGUGAAACGCGUAGAUAUCUGGAGGAACACCGGUGGCGAAGGCGGCAUCCUGGACCGAUAUUGACGCUGAGGAGCGAAAGCCAGGGGAGCAAACGGG